rnacentral:rRNA from 1 species
GACGGAGGGUGCUAGCGUUGUUCGGAAUCACUGGGCGUAAAGGGCGCGUAGGCGGCCGUGGCCGUCGGGUGUGAAAGCCCGGAGCUCAACUCCGGAACGGCACUCGAUACUCCAUGGCUGGAGGCCGGAAGAGGAGGGUGGAAUACCCAGUGUAGAGGUGAAAUUCGUAGAUAUUGGGUGGAACACCGGUGGCGAAAGCGGCUCUCUGGUCCGGACCUGACGCUGAGGCGCGAAAGCGUGGGGAGCAAAUAGG